GUAAACCCGGCAGUCAGAACAGACUGUGGAUUUCCCGGGAUUAAUGCCACCGACUGUUAUUCCAGAGGCUGCUGCUUCAAUUCAAGUAUUCCUGGAGUCAAGUGGUGUUUCUACGCAAACAGCCUAGAUAAGGUUAAGUGCUCCGUGAGUCCCACAGCCAGGAUAGAGUGCGGCUAUGCCGGAAUCAGUCCGCCUGAGUGUUAUUCCAGAGGAUGUUGCUUUGAUUCAAGUGUUAAGAACGCUAUAUGGUGCUUCAAGAAAGCAGAAUGUUCUGUGGCUCCCCAAGACAGAGAUGAAUGUGGAGAGACUGGAAUCACUGCUGCUGACUGCCAGGCUAAAGGAUGCUGCUAUGACUCUAGUCACCCUAAUGCUCCCCCGUGCUACUCUCCAAAAGAAGAAUGCUAGGUGGCUGCAUCGCUGUGCGUAAGGGACUACAGCUUCUCUAAUACCACCGCCGAGAGCUGGUUGGACAGAAGCUGCUGUCAGCGUUCCAGUGUUCCCGGCACCAUUGGGUGCUUCUAUGGCUCACAAUAAAGAGUAUAAUUUCACGAUUGUACAAGC